AAGCCGUUACACCACAACGUCACUGUUGACUAUGAUUGUCAACGAAAAUUCCUAUACCAGGAAGGAGGAAUCCCUUUAUAAGCGGCUGUCAUCGCGACGGACGCCCUCUAAAAGUGUGAACGCCAUAACGAAAAAGUGAUCGUGCCCAGUAUUGACCAGUGGUAGUGGUGGCUCUGUUUGAAUCCGGUUUGCCGGAAGUUGUGGCCCUUUCGGAAUAGGCCAGAGAACCAGCGAAGAGCCAGGAGUGGAAUCCCGUACAAGGGUGGAAGAUCCCAGCCCAGGUGGGCUCUCGACAGGUGAAUCGCUUCGUCGUCAUUCGAUCCUCGUGGGCAUCAUUAUAACGAAGAACGCUCGAUCAUCGAUCAUCACCGCAACGGACGAACUCGAGGACCAAACCCAACGGUCUAGGCCUGAAGAAUAGGACACAGAAUGCAUCGCAGGGGAAACACAGCCGCCUAUCGCUCUCCCGGAUUCAACCAGGCACCGACGCCGAUAGGCACAAGAAUGAUAUAAAGGUCUGUAACGAGCAUGUAUCCUUACCCUUCUAUCCUUUUUAAAGCGAAGUAAAAAUGAAUUGAAUUAUA